AACGAACGCUGGCGGCAUGCCUAACACAUGCAAGUCGAACGAAGGCUUCGGCCUUAGUGGCGCACGGGUGCGUAACGCGUGGGAAUCUGCCCCCCGGUUCGGAAUAACAGGUAGAAAUGACCGCUAAUACCGGACGAUGCCAUCGGUCCAAAGAUUUAUCGCCAAGGGAUUGGCCCGUGUAAAGGUAGGUAGUUGGUGGGGUAAACGCCUACCAAGCCGACGAUCGUUAGCUGGUCGGAGGGGAUGAUCCGCCCCACUGUGACUGAGCCACGGCCCAGACUCCGACGGGAGGCAGCAGUGGGGAAUAUUGGACAAUGGGGGAAAGCCUGAUCCAGCAAUGCCGCGUGAGUGAUGAAGGCCUUAGGGUUGUAAAGCUCUGUUACCAGGGAUGAUAAUGACAGUACCUGGAGAAUAAGCUCCGGCUAACUCCGUGGCAGCCGCCGCGGUAA
rnacentral:rRNA from 1 species